rnacentral:sRNA from 1 species
GAGCGCCAGCGAGAGAGCGUUGCCGCAGGCAACGACCCGAAGGGCGAAGCGCGCAGCGCUGAAUAAUCCUUCCCCCACCACCA